rnacentral:rRNA from 1 species
UACGAAGGGGGGCUAGCGUUGUUCGGAAUUACUGGGCGUAAAGCGCACGUAGGCGGAUAUUUAAGUCAGGGGUGAAAUCCCAGAGCUCAACUCUGGAACUGCCUUUGAUACUGGGUAUCUUGAGUAUGGAAGAGGUAAGUGGAAUUGCGAGUGUAGAGGUGAAAUUCGUAGAUAUUCGCAGGAACACCAGUGGCGAAGGCGGCUUACUGGUCCAUUACUGACGCUGAGGUGCGAAAAGCGUGGGGAGCAAACAGG